UGUUAGUUUGCAUGUUUGCGUAGAGGGGGACAAAUUGUGGCUCAGGAGACACAGCAGCCACGUCCUUCAGGAGGGGUGGAGGGACCUGAGGCGGAGCAUGAGGAGCAGACCACAGCUAAGCUAAAAGUAGAGCUGAUUGCUCCGCGGUGAUGGGAAGUAGUCCGCGUCUGGGUACCAGAGAGGAGUGGGGCCUCAUGGAGACCAUCUUCCAGCUCUCUAGAAGUACCAACGGAGGUGAUUGCUUGCAGUGCGGUGGGGAAGGUUUCCUGGAGGUCUGAAAACAGAGAAAUAUCUAGGGGAUCCACGAUGGCCCAUUCAUGCUUGAAGUGGAAGGCUGGAUUCAUUCCAAGAUACAAUAUCCAACUGGAACACCCCAUCCCAUGCCCAAAGGGAGCAGAAAAGACAGAUAGGAACCUACCAUGGGGAGCUUCAUGGUCAAGCUUCAGGACUCCCAAAAUGAAAAGGCAAUCUCAAAUAUCUUCCAGCACAUCAUACUAAAUUUCAGCUGAAGCUGGGCAGUGAGGGAGCAUGCUUUUAAUCCCAGAACUUGGGAGGCAGAAGCAGGGGCAUCUCUGUGAGUUGGAGGCCAGCAUGGUCUACAGAGUGAGUUCCAGGACAGCCAGGACUACACAGAGAAACCAUAUCUUGAAAAACAAACAAACAAAACUUCAACUGUAACAAAGCUGUUUCAAGCAAAGAGUAACAGAAUGUUACCAACAACCUCUGGUCCAAAAGGCAGAAAGCAAAUGAAUGAAGCUCCAAAAUAUGGACCCAGCUCAGACACACAGGGCAGCAUGGAGGCAUUUUAUAAACACAUCUAGGAAUAGCCACACGCUCCCAAGUGUGGUGGUCAACUUCAAUUGUCAACUUAUUACAAGCCAGAGUCUCAGUGAGGGAUUGUCCACAGCAGGUUGGCCUGUGCACAUGUCUUGGGGAAUUGUCCUAUCCACUGUAGGUGGCACCAUAAGCAGGGGAUCCUGGACAAUACAGGAGUGAAGAAAUCAAGCUGAACACAAGCCAACAGGAGACAGAGCAGCCUGCGUGCAUCCAUUUCUCUCUGCUCUCGACCGUGGCUGUGUUUGUAACUAGCUGUUUGGUGUUCCUGCCUUGGCUUUGCCAAAGUACUGAACUGUAACCUGGAAUCCUAAGCUAAAAUAAACGCCUUUCUUCCCUGG